CGUGCGGUUCUAUUUUGUUGGUUUCUAGGACCGCCGUAAUGAUUAAUAGGGAUAGUCGGGGGAGUCAGUAUUCAGCUGUCAGAGGUGGAAUUCUUGGAUUUGAUGAAGACUAAUUACUGCGAAAGCAUUCGCCAAGGAUGUUUUCAUUAAUCAGGGAACGAAAGUUAGGGGAUCGAAGACGAUCAGAUACCGUCGUAGUCUUAACCAUAAACUAUGCCGACUAGGGAUCGGACGGUGUUUCUAUUAUGACCCGUUCGGCACCUUACGAGAAAUCAAAGUUUUUGGGUUCUGGGGGGAGUAUGGUCGCAAGGCUGAAACUUAAAGAAAUUGACGGAAGGGCACCACCAGGAGUGGAGCCUGCGGCUUAAUUUGACUCAACACGG
rnacentral:rRNA from 1 species